AAUUGCUAAAAAUACUGAUUUAUAUCCAGUUUUUCAAAUGGAUGAAAUAGUUUCCUUGAGUUACAUUAUUUAUGAGUUACGUUAUAUUUGCAUAUAACAUUUGAUGAAAAAACUUUCUUCGCCUUAUAAUCUGAUCAAUUUUUUUCAAGUACGUCAUUAAUAAAUUAUAGCAUAAAUUGUCAUGCAGUUUCAAAAACAAUACAUAUUUAUAUAGCUUGUGAGUUUUUCACAUGCGAGGACCUCGAUCAAAUUGAAAUUGUUCUUUAUCGUGUAAUUUCGAAGCCAUGCUCAUAUAUUCUACCUGUGGCUAUACAUUCAAGGUGUCCCAAAAACUAAUUAAUUAAGAAAUGCAAUGAGCUAGCUGUGUUCCAGUUUAUACACGGCUAAUUAUUAGCAGGCAGAAAACAANNNNNNNNNNNNNNNNNNNNUAAAAUUAUACAAACAAUCCAGCGAAGAUUAACAAAUAGAUAAACGGAAAGUAAGUUUUAGGCUUUAUCCUUUGUUCUUGUUUCACAAAAUCGAUUUAAAUUGUUACUUUUUUACCACUAAGCCAUGAUAAAUUAUUGUUAAUAUUUUUUUUUAUUUUUUGGAUGCUCAGAAUGCAGGAAAUAGCAUUUCACGGUUUCAAAUUUCAAAAAUUUUCUUGGGAUUAUCCCUCUAAUAAGUAAUGAUAAAUUACAGUUAAUAUUCUUUUUUACUUUUUGUGCAUUUUUCCAUCUUUUAUUUCAAAUACAACUAUAGUUAGCAUAAAUUUUAGAGCAAAUUUGGAUGCUCAGAAUGCAGGAAAUGGCAUUUCCGUGGUUCAAAUUUCAAACAUUUUCUGGGGGAGUACACCCCCACACACCUGACCAUUGCUAUCCUCCUCUAAUAAGUAAUGAUAAAUGAUGGUUAAUUUUUUUUACUUUUUGUGUGUUUCUUCCUUUAUUUAUUUCAAAUACAAGUAUAGUUAGGAUAAAUUUUGGAGCAAAUUUGGAUGCUCAGAAUGCAGGAAAUGACAUUUCCGGGAGUCAAAUUUCAAAAAUUUUCUGGGGGAGUACACCCCCACCAGACCCCCCAUUCAUGCGUGGUAUAUUUGCCACACACAUGGCUUUAAGCCAUUGCUAUCCCCCUCUAAUAUAUUAUCUCACAGAAAGGUCCCUUUUUAAAAAAUGCCCCCC
rnacentral:lncRNA from 1 species